rnacentral:rRNA from 1 species
GUGGGGAAUAUUGCGCAAUGGGGGAAACCCUGACGCAGCAAUACCGCGUGAGUGAAGAAGGUUUUCGGAUCGUAAAACUCUUUUAUUGGGGAAGAAGAAGUGACGGUACCCAAUGAAGAAGUCCCGGCUAACUACGUGCCAGCAGCCGCGGUAAUACGUAGGGGACAAGCGUUGUCCGGAAUCACUGGGCGUAAAGGGCGCGUAGGCGGUUUUAUAAGUCAGAUGUGAAAGGUACCGGCUCAACCGGUGACGUGCAUUUGAAACUGUAAGACUGGAGUACUGGAGAGGCAAGUGGAAUUCCUAGUGUAGCGGUGAAAUGCGUAGAGAUCGGGAGGAACACCAGUGGCGAAGGCGACUUACUGGACUGUAACUGACGCUGAGGCGCGAAAGUGUGGGGAGCAAACAGGAUUAGAUACCCGAGUAGUCC